UAUCAGACCAAAUUAUAUUUUAUCAGUCACGCUUUUUGUGAUUAUCUAGGCCUGAUAGACUGAGCUGUUCGGAAUAUUUCUCGGCACAACUUGCAGGAAUCGACACCAACUCUUCUCAAUGAAGCUUUUUGUUCUGUACAUUUGUAGUUUGAUCGGCCUAGUUUGGUCAGAGACGUGCACGGAAGUCAGCAGCUGCGUCAGCACACAAUGCGAUGAGUUUUCACACGUUGUGUGCGCCAACGGGCAGUGCACGUGAGAGCUCAGAGAGGGCCGAUGUGACUCCAAGGCGGACUGUGACGCGAUGACAGAUUGGUUGUGUCCCCCACACCGCAGGCAUUGCAUUGACAAUAGAUGUCGCUGUCUUAAUAUCUGAAUAAAAUCAUAGUAUCCACUGUACAAAUGAAGGAACUUUUUAACGAA